UACGAAGGGGGGCUAGCGUUGUUCGGAUUUACUGGGCGUAAAGCGCACGUAGGCGGGUUGUUAAGUCAGGGGGUGAAAUCCUGGAGCUCAACUCCAGAACUGCCUUUGAUACUGGCAACCUAAAGGCUGGAAGAGGUUAGUGGAAUUCCCAGUGUAGAGGUGAAAUUCGUAGAUAUUGGGAAGAACACCAGUGGCGAAGGCGGCUAACUGGUCCAGAUCUGACGCUGAGGUGCGAAAGCGUGGGGAGCAAACAGG
rnacentral:rRNA from 1 species